UAUGGACACUUCCUAAAAGCAUUUAUUUUCAACCCGCCAUGAGAAAAAUCUGAAGACAAAGUAAGUUGUUUCAGAAGACCUAUAAUUGCAGGUGUUUUUUCAUGUGGUAUCUUAAUAGAUUCCAUUACUUAUGGUUGCUGCUGCUGCUGCUAAGUCACCUCAGUCAUGUCCGACUCUGCGCAACCCCAUAGACUGAAGACUGCCAGGCUUCCCCGUCCCUGGGAUUCUCCAGGCAAGAACACUGGAGUGGGUUGCCAUUUCCUUCUCCAAUGCAUGAAAGCGAAAAGUGAAAGUGAAGUCCCUCAGUCGUGUCUGACUCUUAGCGACCGCAUGGACUGCAGCCCACCAGGCUCCUCUGUCCAUUGGGUUUUCCAGGCAAGAGUACUGGAGUGGGGUGCCAUUGCCUUCUCCGUGGAAAAAGCCUACCAUGUGUCAAAUAGUAUGAAACAUUCAAGUGACACUUCUGAGAAAAAUAGAAAUAAAUCAAUAUACCCACAAGUGAACAACGAGAAAAGAGUGGUUACUUAA
rnacentral:lncRNA from 1 species